rnacentral:rRNA from 1 species
CNCGNNAAACCUUACCUACCCUUGACAUGUACGGAACUUGCCAGAGAUGGCUUGGUGCUCGAAAGAGAGCCGUAACACAGGUGCUGCAUGGCUGUCGUCAGCUCGUGUCGUGAGAUGUUGGGUUAAGUCCCGCAACGAGCGCAACCCUUGUCAUUAGUUGCUACAUUUAGUUGGGCACUCUAAUGAGACUGCCGGUGACAAACCGGAGGAAGGUGGGGAUGACGUCAAGUCCUCAUGGCCCUUAUGGGUAGGGCUACACACGUCAUACAAUGGCUGGUACAAAGGGUUGCCAACCCGCGAGGGGGAGCUAAUCCCAUAAAGCCAGUCGUAGUCCGGAUCGUAGUCUGCAACUCGACUGCGUGAAGUCGGAAUCGCUAGUAAUCGUGGAUCAGAAUGUCACGGUGAAUACGUUCCCGGGUCUUGUACACACCGCCCGUCACACCAUGGGAGCGGGUCUCGCCAGAAGUAGUUAGCCUAACCGCAAGGGGGGC